ACCUAAUUUUCUCUCACGAAAAGUUUCGUAGCCGCCGAAGCCUUUGCUUAGAUCCACCACAGCUUCCUCGGUGGUUUGGCUUCCGCCACCACCGGGGAAGGCUAUUCCUCCUCGAUCUCUUCUUUCAGUGGUGUAUCUUUCUUUUCUCUCUAAAGUCGUCUAUUCUCUCUCUGUAUGGUCUCCUUUGCAGCGGUCGUUGAUGGUCUUUGUGUAGCUUUAUGAUGUUCUACAUGGAGUUAGAGCAAGGAAGGUGUGUUUGGAGUGUAUAUGGUGGUGACAGUGGCGGAUUCUUUUGCAAUGGAAUCUUGUAUGGCUUGUCAUGUGCGACAGUUUUAGUUCUUUGUUGCCAUUCAUUUGUGUUUGGGCUUUGCUAUGGUAGUUGGUUCAGUUUGUCCUGGUUCUUGUUAGAGGAGUUAUGCCUUGCUCCCUGUUACAAGAUGGUUUUCAUUUAGGGUUUAUUGGAUACACAACAAUACCUAGAUGCAUGUUGGGCUGUCAUUGAUCUGAAUUGAUAGGGAUUCAUCAUUUGGAGUUGGACUUUGAAUUAUGUUGGGUUCUUCUCAAGCCACUAUUGUGGAUAAAAGCAGAGCUUACAGUAUUCAUGGUUUUAACUCAUGAAUUUCCAUUAUUCCCUCAAGUUCAGAUUAACGCUUUGGUCUUUAUCCUCCUUUCAUGUCAUCAUUUUUAAGGCUAAGGCUCUCAUCUGAGCUUCUACUUGCCUAUCUAUUGGCUCAGUUCUUUAUUGCGAUCAGAAGCAGAGGUGGCUGUCAUGUAAGUUGAUUGGAUCGUGGAGUAUUGAUCCUCCUUCUACUACUGAUGGCUAAGAAGACACUCAUUAUUUCUUCUUUUCCCUGUUGGCCUUAGUAAUUGUCGCAUCUACUGAUGUUGUUAGUUUAAUUCCUUUCAAGCUUUCUUUUGUAUGAACUCCUUCUGGCCAUGUCUUAGUACUGGUUUUAUUGCAAUCGAAUGAUUUUUUGACAAAAAAAAAAGUUCCUAUAAUAUUUCAUAUCAUAUUAAAUAACCAAAUAUGUGAUCAGAAUAAAUGUCAUAUAUAACUGACAUAGCUUUGAAAUGAUGAGCAAGAAUUCAUGUUAACCAAUAUCAAAGUACAUAACUGAUAUAUUGUACAAAAUGAGAUUCGCAUUCAAUGGAGUAUAUAAACAGUAUAAAUUUUUGUGGUAACAAAUUUUAUAGGGCCUAUUCGUUUCUCCAUCAGAAUGAGCCAUCUGGAUGUAGAUGAGAGUUUUGUUCGUUUAGACAUUAAAAGUGCAAUUCAUCUGGAUGGAUCAUCUGGAUGACUUUUGGAAAUUUAGGUUUAAUUUUAAAGUUCAUUCAGCUGAUCAAAUUUGGACCAUUUGGAUGGAGAUGGUUCAUUCAAUAUGGUAUAAUGUCUAUUAUGCACUUAAUGUAAUUCACAAAUUACAAACAUAAACAUAAUAUCAUUUUGUCACACACGAAAACUGGCAAAACCACAAGAAAACAUUUUUCCGCGAAAACCUAAAAUCAAAAUUUUCACGCCAAAACCCUAAAAUGCAUUUCCGCACAAAAUUGGAAAAACGUGUUUUCCCGCAAAAACUGGAAAAACGUGUUUUCCCGCAAAAACAUGUUUACAUGCCAAAAUCACAAAAAUGCGUUUUCACGCCAAAACCCCAUAACACAUUUUCCACCUAAUCACAAAAACAUGUUCUCCUGCCAAAACCACAAAAUGUGUUUUCCCGCCAUAACGUCUUUUACCGCCAAAACCGAAAAACGUGUUUUCCCACCAAAACCGAAAAUCUUGUUUUCUGCCAAAACCGCAAAAACGUGUUUUCCCACCAAAACCAUAAAUCGUGUUUUCUCGCCAAAACCGAAAAUUGACUUUUCCCGCCAAAAUCAAAAAAUCUUGUUUUCCCGCCAAAACCGCAAAAAUGCAUUUUUCGCCAAAACCAAAAAAUUUAUUUUUUCUCCAAAAUUGAAAAAACUCAUUUUCCCGUCAAAAUCCAAAAAUCUCGUUUUCCCGUCAAAAUUGAAAAAUCUCGUUUUCCGUUAUAACCGAAAAUUUUUGUUUUCCGCCAAAACCGAAGUUACAGUCAGUUUAUUAUUAAUACUCUUUUAGUUUGAAACUCUAAUUUUUUUUUUCAAAUACAUGUUUAUCAAUUUUUUUUGUUUAUUAGAAGUUAUUAUUGUAGUAAAUUUUAACAUAUGAUUAAAUCAAGAUAAGGGUAUUUUAGUAAUUUUUUUACUAAACUCAUUUGGAUGGAAAUGAAAAUAAAGAAACAAACAUAAAAUUCAUUUAGAUGAUUCAUCUAGAUGAACCAUCUAGAUAGACAAACAAACAGUCCUAAAAAUCUGAAUGGAUCAUCUAAAUAGAUCAUACAAAUGGAUCAUCUGAAUAGAGAUGACAGAUGGUGACAGAUGGUGAAACGAACAACCCCGUACUGUAUGACUUAUUAGGAAUAACCAAAAUUUGAAUACAAUAGGUAUUCCCUUUUAUUGCCUCCCAAUUUCCCUAGACCAAGCGUAGAUAGUUACUCCUAAUUGCUAGAUUAAAGCGUAUAGAACUUAAUACUUCCGUUAACAUUAAAUGUAGUGAAAAAGUUCAAUGGAAGCAUAUUGAAAAAGUGUGAAGCAAAGCACUAUUUACAUGGGAAUAAUUUAUGUAUGCGAAGGCUUUACUUCACACUAUAAAAAGUAUUCUCAUGUAAAUAUAUAGUCCUAUUAAAAUCAUAAAUUAAUAAUCUAUCUCUAUACUUAUUUUAUAUUAGUACAAACUAAACAUUAUUGUUGGUUUUAUAUUUUGAUAAUAUUAAAUAAAAUUAUAUCAAAAACCACAUAACAAUUAUAUGAAACAUAAAAAUAUACAUCAAAUAAGAUAAUAAAAUAGUAUGGAAGUCAAAUUCCUAAAUUUAAAUAAUUUAUAUAAGGUAAAAUUAAAUAUUUCUUAAUUUAUUAAUAAAAAUAUUAAAAAAAAUCUGAAAAAAGAAAUUAUGAUAAAUAAAAAUAUCUCUAUAAAUUAAUAAAAUUUUAAAGUUUCAAUAUUAUUAAUUUAUAGAGGUUCUACUGUACAGUCUUUAUCUUAUUCACGAAGCAUGUUCUUAUUCAGUGCUAUAUGAAUCAGAAAAAUAUACAUAGUCUUAUCUUAUUCACAAAUCAUGUUAUCGUUCAGUGUUUUAGUUUUUAUUAUAGGGUAUAUGGCGAACAGUGAAUAAGAAAAAAAACCAUUCAUCAUCGAUUUUAGUUUUUUUUUGUACCCACUAACCAUUUAAAUGAAAAUUGAUCUCAGCUAAUCAAUAGUAUCCCUCUGUUUCAGUUUAAUUUGUAUAGUAAAAUUUUUGUUUCAAAAUAAAUGUCGCUUUAUAGUUUCAAUGCAAAAUUUAUUAAUUUUAUAAUCUAAUCUAUUUCUGUAUUGGUUGAAAUGUGUUUAGAUGUAUUUCAGUAUCGGUAAUGAUGUUUUUAUUUAGUAAAUAUACAAAAUUAAAUAUUUUUAAUAUUUUUUCAUAAGUGUAAAACAACAAUCCCCUAUACAUUAUUUACUAAGUAAUUUUGACACAUGUCAUCACCACAUUAACUUUGAAAGCAAAAUAAUGACAUGGAAUAUUAAUAAAGAUGACAUGGUUUGGACUAACUGUGAUAUGAACAUUUAUAUUUAAUAUUGUUUUAUAAUUUUGGUAAAUUGUUAGAAUAAACUAACAACUUAUAAAUAAUCAUUAAUAUAACAAUAUAUAGUAAAGUUAGAAAUAUAGUAAUACAUAAUAAUUUUCGAAAAUAUUAUUUAAUUUUAUUUAAAUAAUUUUAUAAUUUUUCAUUACUAAAACAAAUCUUAAAACAUUUAUGCAUUUUUCAAAAAAAAAUUAAAAUCAUAUUAUAAUUAUUUCUUUUUAAUAUUUAAAAAUUUUAGAAAUAUUAUUUAAUUUUAUGUUUUGUUCAUUAUAUAUUAAAAAACUUUCCCUUAAUUCUAUAAAAUUGUAUUUAAUAUAUAUUAACCAAAAUAAAAUAAAUAAAAAUAUUCCAAGAAAUAUUUAUUAUUAAAUAUAAAUGUAAAAAAAAUAUUUAUUUGAUCUUAGUUUUUACAUAGAAAUAAAAUAUUAUAUGCAAAUAAUAAAACCAAAAAAUUAACAAAACUUUAUUUAUAAAUAUAAUUCUAAAAUUAUAUUUGUGCACAUAGUUAUAGGAAAACACAUAGUUAAAAUGAAACGGAAGGAGUAAGUAACAAAUCUUAAUUGUUCGAGAUAUUUAUUUCUUAAACACACAAACAAUUAACGUUGUACCUAAUUGAUCCUAAAUAUAGGACUUAACAAAUAUUUCAUUUCUAAAAUCAUAACUACUUCAAGUCUUCAACAAAUAUAAAUAGCUCGAAAUUGAAGGGUAAGUGGAUAUUUGUCACUAACUUCACUUUGAGUACAGCCGCCGGUCCAUAUAGACUGACCAAGUGCCACAAUUUGCCACUGCAUUUAAAACUGAGUCUAAGGUAGUAAGGUUCUCUCAUUAAUGGUAAUAUUGUAUUUUACAAAAUCAGUGACAUUUACAACCAUACAAAUUGUAUAUUAGAAUUUACAAACCAUACAAAUUGUAUAUCUAAUAACAGUCCUUCGAUCAUUACUUCAAGUUCAUACUAUUGAUACGAGUCUUUCCAACACGAUUCUUAGGUCUCUAUGUGAUCACCAUUAUUAAACCGGUCAAAAACCGGUGUCUUUAUUCAAUACGAGUCUCGCCAAUAGUGUAGCAAAAUCCAGUGCCUUUAUCCAACACGAUUUUUAAGUCUCUCUGUGAUCACUACAAGUGACUCUCAAUUGGGAGUUUCUUAGGUCUCUCUGUGAUCACUACAAGUGACUCUCAGUUGGGAGUAGCAAAUUCUGUUGGAUCAAAUAAAUAGUCCAAUGGUUUUUAUUUAAAAUGUGAAUAAACAAUGAUUUGGAUUACAUGUUAUUAAGCCUAAAAAUCAAUUCAUUUAGUGUAUCAGAUAUGGGAAAGUAAUCUAAAACGCCUCAGUUACAAAAAAAACUAUUCUAACUAUCCCACCAUUUUUCUCACUACCCCAGCAUUUUCCCCUAUUACCCUUUUUUAAUAAUAUUUUUUAAGUUAUAUGCGGACCCCACCCAUCAUGCAUGCAGACCUCUCCCCCAUUUU